rnacentral:misc_RNA from 1 species
CGAGAGUGUCACCACUCCCAACCCACUGUUUACCUACCCGUCCACCGUGCUUCGGCAGGCAGUCCUGUGGGACAGGGCCUCGCCCCCGCGAGGGGGUGCCUGCCGCUGGCCAACCAAAAAUUCUAGCUGUUUUUGCACCAUCUGAGUCUUCCACAAAUAAACA